rnacentral:misc_RNA from 1 species
GAUUAAGAACGUAGCGAAAUGCGAUACGUAAUGUGAAUUGCAAAUUCAGUGAAUCAUCGAGUCUUUGAACGCACAUUGCGCCCCCUGGUAUUCCGGGGGGCAUGCCUGUCCGAGCGUCAUUGCUGCCCUCAAGCACGGCUUGUGUGUUGGGCCCCGUCCUCCGAUCCCGGGGGACGGGCCCGAAAGGCAGCGGCGGCACCGCGUCCGGUCCUCGAGCGUAUGGGGCUUUGUCACCCGCUCUGUAGGCCCGGCCGGCGCUUGCCGAUCAACCCAAAUUUUUAUCCAGGUUGACCUCGGAUCAGGUAGGGAUACCCGCUGAACUUAAGCAUAUCAAUAAGCGGAGGA